CUUCCUGGUUGUUGUGGUUUUGGGCAGUUGCGCACAAGCUGCCCCAGGACAGCAGAGUCAGGGGCAGAGCUGGAAGGUACAGGCAGGGGCUGAGGCUUCACUCGGGGGGCGGGCCAGCCUCUGAGGGGCCAGGCCACCAAGUUAAUCUCAGUCUCAAACAGAAAUGAGACACCUGGGAAGAGUGUGAAAUGGGCAUCCCCCGUCCCACUCAGCCCACUGUGAGGACUGGAAGACGCCACCCCGGGUUCAGCAGUGCCCCAAAUUCACGUCCCCUCAGAACACAAGAACUUGACCUUGUCUGGAAACAGGGUCUUUGCCAAUGUCAUUAGUUAAGACGAGGCCCUUCUGGACCAGGGUGGGCCCUAAAUCUAACGACACUUCUACUAACGACUAAAUCUACUAUCUCUUCUAACGACUAAAUCUAAUGUAACACUUUGGAGGAGCUGGGACUCCAGGCGUGAGCGCACCGCCGGCUCCCGUGGUGCCCAUCUGCCCCCAGUGGCCAUUGACUGGUGGGCGUUGACUCCCUCCCGCCCCCCGAAUGCUGUGUGUCUGCUUGACCCCGGGUGGGAAAAGCCACAGCCGGAUGUGCCGGGGCGCCUGUGUCCCCGGGGCCCUGCUCUCCUUGGUGAGUCCAUGUGGAGCUGGCACUGGCCCUGCCCAGAAAGCUGCUGUCAUCCUCCCCCUCCCCCAGGGACGUAAACCAACACCUCGGCCUUCAUUAUCUCAAAGCACACAGAGAAAUUUCGUGGGAGGCCUAAUGUCCCGCUAAUGGGCGGCGGAGGCUGCAGCCCUCGUGUGCCUAAUGGCGGGUGACUAGCCGCAGAGCCUCUUGAGAGCUGGCAUAUUGGAGCUAUUGAUUUUCUCCAGGAAGAUCAAUCUGGGACUAGGGUUUUCUCUGUGGUCUCCUGUCAGGCAGAGACGAGCAUCCAGACAGCUCCGGGACAGGGGCGGGGGAAGCGCCGAGGUUCAGGCAGCCACGGCUCACCCCCCUCCAGCAUCCAGAGGCUCCCGCGUCCCGGCUCCUGGCCGCUGCCUCCAGCUCCAAAGCCAGCAGCGUGGCCUCUUCCAUCCUCUCAGCCUCCUGCCUCCCUCCAACAAGGAUCCACCAGGACAGUGACCAGCACCGACGAGGCCGAGCUGAGGUCCACCUGCGCCCGAAGCCUGGGCUGGCCAUUUCCUGCCGCCCGCGCCUUUCAGGACAGAACACAGGGGCCCAGAGGCCCUUCUGGGUCCUCCACUGGAGUUCCCUCGGGGCCCCGGCUGACCCCAUCCCUGCUGAGACCCGCAAGAUGGAGGCCUGCAGUGCCCAGACCCCAGGCCGGGUUGGCUCCCGCCCUUCCCUCCGCAGGCCCCGGCCAUUCCACAGCAUGCGGCAGAGGGCGCCGCAGCCACUGCCAGGAGCGGCAGAACCCCCACC
rnacentral:lncRNA from 10 species